rnacentral:SRP_RNA from 1 species
GCCAGGCAUGGUGGCCCAUGCCUGUAAUCCCAGCUACUCAGGAGGCUGAGACAGGGGAAUCACUUGAAUCCAGGAGGCGGAGGUUGCAGUGAGCCAACAUCGUGCCAUUGCACUCCAGCCUGGGUGACAGAGUGAGACUCCGUCUCAC